rnacentral:rRNA from 1 species
UGGGGAAUUUUGGACAAUGGGCGCAAGCCUGAUCCAGCCAUGCCGCGUGCGGGAAGAAGGCCUUCGGGUUGUAAACCGCUUUUGUCAGGGAAGAAAUCUUCUGAGUUAAUACCUCGGGAGGAUGACGGUACCUGAAGAAUAAGCACCGGCUAACUACGUGCCAGCAGCCGCGGUAAUACGUAGGGUGCAAGCGUUAAUCGGAAUUACUGGGCGUAAAGCGUGCGCAGGCGGUUUUGUAAGACAGAGGUGAAAUCCCCGGGCUCAACCUGGGAACUGCCUUUGUGACUGCAAGGCUUGAGUGCGGCAGAGGGGGGAUGGAAUUCCGCGUGUAGCAGUGAAAUGCGUAGAUAUGCGGAGGAAC